GUUUCCGUAGGUGAACCUGCAGAUGGAUCAUCGUCGAUACMUUAUAGGUACAUGCUGAUCACGAGAUGCCGAUAAUCAUGGAAUCAGGCUUGUUCUUGGUUCCAGUCGGUGUCUCACCCCCAUCUAAGCUCUCGGUGAGGUGUCUAUUCUUGAUUGGAGCCGCUUUGAGUGACGGCAAUGAUAGUUGGGUAUGUUCCCCGUGAGGGUAGAGCAUAGACUUUAUGAACAGAGCUGGGCUGUCGCCUCACCAAAAACCAUCGAUAGCUGGUGGCUGAGUGAGAAAUCACUGGAUCUGCUAUGCAGGGAGCCUUAAUGAGUUGGUCUUCACCGACACAACCGCCACUAUCGGUAAUCUAUUCCCAAUUAACUUGUUUCUAGUAAAAGGCUAAAUUAGUCAGUGGAAAAUAGCCUUAGCGAUGGAUCGGUUGAUUCGCGUAUCGAUGAAAAACGCAGCUAGCUGCGUUAUUUACCACGAAUUGCAGACGCUUAGAGUGGUGAAGUUUUGAACGCACAGCGCCGUUGGGUUUUCCCUUCGGCACGUCUGGCUCAGGGUUGUUUAAUAGACUUCGAUAUUGCUAGGAAGGCAGCAAUAUCGUGCACCGAACGGUGAUAGUGUCUAUAAAAUAGUGGUGCAUACCCCGUUUUAGGGUAAAAUAAAGGUCGUAAACUGAAACUUCUUCCGCCCGAGAAGUUAUAGGUAAUACUUAUGGAUGUGUCAUGUAUGAAAUAUGACGUGGUUAUAUACAUAAAUAGUGUUUCCUUGAAGUCUCAUUAUGCAACCUGAGCUCAGUCGUGAUUACCCGCUGAACUUAAGCAUAU
rnacentral:rRNA from 1 species